GGCACUCCCUCCCUCCCCAACGACCCCCUCUCCCUCAGCACUCAACCGAUUGUCCUUUCCAGUCGGCCAUCGGGCCGUGAGAUCAUCCUUGCGGUCUUGCUCCUGAUUGGUCGUAGCAUCUUUCGUAUUUGCUUUCCUGGCCCCAACGCCCUCACCCGUGAGAUGAAGUCGGCACUGCUGUCGGGGCCGAACAGGUCGAGGCUGCGCGUGGCGUAGAGCAGGCCUCGCUCGCUGGAGCUUUGGGCGCUGAGCGUGUCGAAGAUCUCCCCCAGCAGGUCCAUCUCCUCGGGGUCGGGUAGUGGCGGCGGAGACUCCGGCUCCUCCUCCUCCAGGUACAGGUGGAACGGCGCGUCCUCCCCAUCUGCUGAGCUCUGCUCAGCGGAACCAGCUGGCGACCUACGGCAAAGCGAAGAAGAAGUCGAUUAAAAAAAAAACAUACAGCGCCCUCUACAGUUGGGGCAUGUCAACGCAAAAUGAGAUCUGUUGGUCAAAAACAUUUUACAAAAAUGCUGUUGGAUAUUCUAAAUCCACAUGGUUACCAAUCUUCUCAAUAAAGAGGCGUUUUGUUAAA